ensembl:rRNA 5S_rRNA 5S ribosomal RNA
GCUUACGGCCAUACCACCUUAGGCACGCCCGAUCUCGUCUGAUCUCGGAAGCUAAGCAGGGUUGGGCCUGGUUAGUACUUGGAUGGGUGACCGCCUGGGAAUACCAGGUGCUGUAAGCA